AAUCAACGCUGGCGGCGUGCCUAACACAUGCAAGUCGAACGAGAAAGUGGAGCAAUCCAUGAGUAAAGUGGCGCACGGGUGAGUAACACGUGACUAACCUACCCUUGAGUGGGGGAUAACCUAGGGAAACCUGGGCUAAUGCCGCAUAAUACCUACGGGUCAAAGGAGCAAUUCGCUUUAGGAGGGGGUCGCGGCAGAUUAGUUAGUUGGCGGGGUAAUGGCCCACCAAGACGAUGANCUGUAUCCGGCCUGAGAGGGCGCACGGACACACUGGAACUGAAACACGGUCCAGACUCCUACGGGAGGCAGCAGUGGGGAAUUUUGCGCAAUGGGGGAAACCCUGACGCAGCAACGCCGCGUGGAGGAUGAAGACCCUUGGGUCGUAAACUCCUUUCGA
rnacentral:rRNA from 1 species